CCCUUAGAUGUUCUGGGCUGCACGCGCGCUACACUGAUGCAUUCAACGAGUCUAAAACCUGCUCUGAUAGGGGUGGGUAAUCUUUUGAAUGUGCAUCGUGAUUGGGAUAGAUGAUUGCAAUUUUUCAUCUUCAACGAGGAAUGCCUAGUAAACGCAAGUCAUCAGCUUGCAUUGAUUACGUCCCUGCCCUUUGUACACACCGCCCGUCGCUCCUACCGAUUGAAUGAUCCGAUGAAUAUCAUGGAUUGAGGAUGUAAGCAGGUUCGCCUGUCUUCAUCUUCGAGAAGUGAAGUAAAUCUUAUCAUUUAGAGGAAGGAGAAGUCGUAACA
rnacentral:rRNA from 1 species